rnacentral:rRNA from 1 species
UGGGGAAUAUUGCACAAUGGGGGAAACCCUGAUGCAGCGACGCCGCGUGAACGAAGAAGGUAUUCGUAUCGUAAAGUUCUGUCCUAUGGGAAGAUAAUGACAGUACCAUAGAAGAAAGCUCCGGCUAAAUACGUGCCAGCAGCCGCGGUAAUACGUAUGGAGCGAGCGUUGUCCGGAAUUAUUGGGCGUAAAGGGUACGCAGGCGGUUUAAUAAGUCGAAUGUUAAAGAUCGGGGCUCAACCCCGUAAAGCAUUGGAAACUGAUAAACUUGAGUAGUGGAGAGGAAAGUGGAAUUCCUAGUGUAGUGGAGAAAUACGUAGAUAUUAGGAGGAAUACCAGUAGCGAAGGCGACUUUCUGGACACAAACUGACGCUGAGGUACGAAAGCGUGGGGAGCAAACAGG